CCUACGGGUGGCAGCAGUGGGGAAUAGUGCACAAUGGGGGAAACCCUGAUGCAGCGACGCCGCGUGAGUGAAGAAGGAUUUCGGUAUGUAAAGCUCUGUCAGCAGGGAAGAAAAUGACGGUACCUGACCAAGAAGGCCCGGCUAACUACGUGCCAGCAGCCGCGGUAAUACGUAGGGGGAAAGCGUUCUCCGGAUUUACUGGGUGUAACGGGAGCGUCGACGGCAGGGCAAGUCUGGAGUGAACGGCGGGGGCUCAACCCCCGGACUGCUCUGGAAACUGCCAGGCUGGAGUGCAGGAGAGGUAAGUGGAAUUCCUCGUGUAGCGGUGAAAUGCGUAGAUAUUAGG
rnacentral:rRNA from 1 species